rnacentral:rRNA from 1 species
UACGUAGGGUGCGAGCGUUAAUCGGAAUUACUGGGCGUAAAGCGUGCGCAGGCGGUGAUGUAAGACCGAUGUGAAAUCCCCGGGCUUAACCUGGGAACUGCAUUGGUGACGUGCAUUGCUGGAGUAUGGCAGAGGGGGGUGGAAUUCCACGUGUAGCAGUGAAAUGCGUAGAUAUGCGGAGGAACACCGAUGGCGAAGGCAAUCCCCGUGGACCUGUACUGACGCUCAUGCACGAAA